UGUCAUGACUCUUGUUAUGAUGUUAUCAGAAGAAUCAUAUAUUGGGAGGUGCUUAGGUUAUUCGGGAUCACCAUAGAGAGGUUAUUCUUCAUAGCAUGAAAUUAUUUGCCUUUGUUUCCAAGUUGAACGAAGCUAGGGUCAUCUGUUUCAAGUGAGUGAUUGAGAGUGCUGUUUCUCAACACUUGGAAGAAGUGAUUGUCAGUAUGAAAAAUUCUGUUAUGUGUGGCUUUUUGGAAAGACCAAAGGCGUAGUUCUCUUUCUUAUGUCAGCUCUCAACUCUCUUAACAAAUGGAAAGUCCUUUGGAAAUCUAAAGAGAUUAGUAAAGGUGUCUUUUUAUUUCUUCAAGUGCAAUUAGGACAUCUUUUGGUCACUUGUAUCUAGUGAUCGGAUAUUUUUUUUUAAUUCAUUUGUGUUUAGUGGUUGUGACGUAUAAAUGUCUUAUAUCCUCUGUAUGUUUAGAAGUUUACCACAAUAUAUUUUAUGGAAAAGUGAAAAAAUGAAAAAAAAAUAUACACUUUCACUAAAGCUCUAUUUUUUCUUGACAAUAUAUUCUCUCUUCUUUAUAUAAAAAAGCUCAAAAACAUAAAAAUAUAGAUAUAAUUUUUUUUUCUUUUUCUAACUUUUCAUUUUUCUUUCCUCUC
rnacentral:lncRNA from 1 species